CCCUGGGUGGCUCAGUCGGUUAAGCAUCUGACUUCGGCUCAGGUCAUGGUAUUACGGCUCGUGGGUUCGAGUCCCACGUUGGGCU
rnacentral:tRNA from 1 species